GUUACUGACGCUGAAGCUCGAAAGCGUGGGUAUCGAACAGGAUUAGAUACCCUGGUAGUCCACGCGGUAAACGAUGGAUGCUCGCUGUUUGCCUUAUAUGGUAAGCGGCCAAGCGAAAGCAUUAAGCAUCCCACCUGGGGAGUACGCCGGCAACGGUGAAACUCAAAGGAAUUGACGGGGGCCCGCACAAGCGGAGGAACAUGUGGUUUAAUUCGAUGAUACGCGAGGAACCUUACCCGGGCUUGAACUGUAGGUGAACGAUUCAGAGAUGAUGAGGUCCUUCGGGACGCCUAUGGAGGUGCUGCAUGGUUGUCGUCAGCUCGUGCCGUGAGGUGUCGGCUUAAGUGCCAUAACGAGCGCAACCCCUUUCCGCAGUUGCCAUCAGGUAGCGCUGGGCACUCUGCGGAUACUGCCACCGCAAGGUGUGAGGAAGGUGGGGAUGACGUCAAAUCAGCACGGCCCUUACGUCCGGGGCUACACACGUGUUACAAUGGCGCAUACAGCGAGUUGGUCUUUGGCAACAGGGGUCUAAUCAGUAAAAUGCGUCGUAGUUCGGAUUGGGGUCUGCAACCCGACCCCAUGAAGCUGGAUUCGCUAGUAA
rnacentral:rRNA from 1 species